CCUACGGGCGGCAGCAGUGAGGAAUAUUGGUCAAUGGGCUUACGCCUGAACCAGCCAAGUCGCGUGAGGGAAGACUGCCCUAUGGGUUGUAAACCUCUUUUGUCAGGGAGCAACGCCGGCUACGUGUAGCCUGCCUGAGAGUACCUGAAGCAAAAGCAUCGGCUACCUCCGUGCCAGCAGCCGCGGUAAUACGGAGGAUGCGAGCGGUCUCCGGCUUUAUUGGGUUUAAAGGGUGCGUAGGCGGAAUGCCAAGUCAGCGGUAAAAUCGCGGGGCUCAACCUCGCUCCGCCGUUGAAACUGGCGGUCUGGAGUGGGUGAGAAGUAUGCGGAAUGCGUGGUGUAGCGGUGAAAUGCAUAGAUAUCACGCAGAACUCCGAUUGCGAAGGCAGCAUACCGGCGCCCAACUGACGCUGAAGCACGAAAGCGUGGGUAUCGAACAGGAUUAGAUACCCGGGUAGUC
rnacentral:rRNA from 1 species